ACCAGGCACAGUGGCGCAUGCCUAUAAUCCCAGUACUCAGGAGGCUGAGGCAGGAGGAUCACAAGUUUAAAGCCAGCCUGGGCAACUUAGUGAGACCCUGUCUCAA
rnacentral:sRNA from 1 species